AGAGGAAGCCGGUGCGAAUCCGGCGCGGUCCCGCCACUGUCACCGGGGAGCGCUCCCCCACACGGAAGUCACGGCCCGUACGGACGGGUUGGAAGGCCGGGGGAAGCGUAGAUCCGGGAGCCAGGAGACUC
rnacentral:ncRNA from 2 species